GAAAGAGCCAGGCUGGCUGUUUUCCCCAGUCUCCAGUCUUCAUGCUAAGCUAAGCUAAUCAGCUGCUGGCUCUAGCUGUAUGUUUACAUGCA